UCGCUGCCCUAGGGGAGUGAGACACUGAGAGUUCCGCAGCGUGCGGGACGACCCUUUGAACCUGAUCCGGAUCAUACCGGCGUAGGGAAGCGGCGCUACCAACCG
rnacentral:ncRNA from 2 species